CUUCCACAUUGGGAAAGUUUUGUUCUUUCCUUCUUUGCAAUAAAUCUUGCUACUGCUUGCUUUUUGGGUUCAUAUUGCCUUUAUAAGUUGUGACACUCAUCGUGAAGGUCUGUAGCUUCGCUCCUGAAGCUAGGGAGACCAUGAACCCACCAGAGGGAAGAAACUCUGAACACAUCCAAACAUCAGAAGGAACAAACUCCGAAUGCGCCAUUUCUAAGAACUGUAACACUCCCCCCAAGGGUCUGUGGCUUCAUUCUUGAAGUUGGUGAGACCAAGAACCCACCAAUUCCGGACACACCGGCACUUUAGGAGGCCGAGGCAGGCAGAUACCUGAUGAGGCCCAGGAACCUCAAGAUAUUUUGGGGACCUUGAUGAUUGGACUCCGGUGAAGACUCCAAGAUGGCGAUCGCCACCUCACAUACCCUGACUCAGCAUUUCCGGGUUCACCUUUCCUGUUCCCGCCACCCCGACUAACGCGCAUGCCCACUAGGGCGUGUCACACUCAGAAGCGCGAAACUCAACCGACCCCACCCCUACCCCGCCCACUCCUCACCCAGCAUCCAUAAAAGCGCGCUGCACCUUUGGCACAGCGCGACUUCCCUGGCCCUCCCCCUGCGGGCCAGUGAACCUCGCCCAAGAGCUCAAUAAAGAUUUUUG
rnacentral:lncRNA from 1 species